rnacentral:rRNA from 1 species
UACGUAGGAUGCAAGCGUUGUCCGGAAUUAUUGGGCGUAAAGAGCGCGCAGGCGGUAUGACAAGUCAGAUGUGAAAGAGGCCGGCUUAACCGGUAAGGGUCAUUUGAAACUGUCAGACUAGAGUGCAGCAGAGGAUAGUGGAAUUCCCGGUGUAGUGGUGAAAUGCGUAGAUAUCGGGAGGAACACCAGUGGCGAAGGCGACUAUCUGGGCUGCAACUGACGCUGAGGCGCGAAGGCUAGGGUAGCAAACAGG